UACGUAGGGCGCAAGCGUUGUCCGGAAUUAUUGGGCGUAAAGAGCUCGUAGGCGGCUUGUCACGUCGGAUGUGAAAGCCCGGGGCUUAACCCCGGGUCUGCAUUCGAUACGGGCAGGCUAGAGUUCGGUAGGGGAGAUCGGAAUUCCUGGUGUAGCGGUGAAAUGCGCAGAUAUCAGGAAGAACACCCGUGGCGAAAGCGGCUCUCUGGAACGGUACUGACGCUGAGACGCGAAAGCGUGGGGAGCGAACAGG
rnacentral:rRNA from 1 species